rnacentral:lncRNA from 11 species
AGAAGAGCAGCGGCUGCAGGAGCCAGGCAUGCUGCCAGUGUUUGCUGUAAACACUGGGCAGAAGGUGGUCCUGCCUUAGGGAGUGGACGGAAAGCAGCCCUAGCAGGAAGACAGGGAGCAGGAAAAAUAUUGGAUGUUGGGAAGGUCAAGAGCUUUAUUCCCCACAUGAGAGCUUCUCGGGAACAUUGGGGUUGCUGAAUUUGAAACAGCAUCCUGACCAAAUGGAGAAUGAGAUAACAAGCAAGAACUAAAUUGACACAAGAAUAAGACAAAGCACAUCUUUUUUCAGCUGAAACAUCAGCAGUUUGCAAAACUUUUCCAUGCUUAUAGAGCAAAUCUCAUACACUCAUGAAGCAUAAAGGACUGAUUGGCUGUUUUAAUAUCAAUGCAACAAGGGAUAGUUGACCUAGUUUAGCUACACAAUUUGAACAAAUCACACCUAUUCAUGCAAAUGUGAAACUCUCUCAACACUGAAAGAUUUUUUUUGCUGCC